CCUACGGGUGGCAGCAGUGAGGAAUAUUGGUCAAUGGGCGAGAGCCUGAACCAGCCAAGUAGCGUGAAGGAUGACUGCCCUAUGGGUUGUAAACUUCUUUUAUAAAGGAAUAAAGUGAGGCACGUGUGCAUUUUUGUAUGUACCUUAUGAAUAAGGAUCGGCUAACUCCGUGCCAGCAGCCGCGGUAAUACGGAGGAUCCGAGCGUUAUCCGGAUUUAUUGGGUUUAAAGGGAGCGUAGUGGGGUUGUUAAGUCAGUUGUGAACGUUUGCGGCUCAACCGUAAAAUUGCAUUUGAUACUGGCAGUCUUGAGUACAGUUGAGGUAGGCGGACUUCGUGGUGUAGCGG
rnacentral:rRNA from 1 species